rnacentral:tRNA from 1 species
GGCAGCAUAGUGCAGUGGAUUAGUGCGUUUGGUUUUGGCUCAAAAGGUGUGGGUUCGACUCUCACUGUUGUUU